UUUCUGGAAUAAUCACAUUUUUGGGGUCACGAAAUAUGAUUUUCAUGUUGUAUUAAAAAUGGCUUGUUAUGAAAAAAUAAAAUCUCCAAAUGACUAUUUUCAUGAUAUAAACACAUUUUGUAGUAAAUGUGUCUAUAUGCUAUCAGGGAGGACAACAAAAACUGAGAAUAUCUGCAAAGUGGAAAUGUCUAGGACUUGGACAAUAACAUAACGAUUGAUUGAUUGCAGAUGAACCGCUGACGUGUUGAGGCAAUUGAAGGACCUGGCCUUCAGAUGAGAGCCGUGUCCAUGUGUCCCAGACAAAGGCAAGUCGGCGAGUGGCCUUGAGCAGAAUCCUGAUCAGGGUGUAGGGUCCUGAUAUUCUGACACACGACGGUCGUCUCCUUUUUGGAAGUAACGACGACACCUAUCGACCGCAGGUGGAACAGCUGCCUCCAAAGUAACAAGUCUUGACAACGGCGCACUACUCGAAUUGAGGUGAGUUGUUCAACUACUCUGUCGUAUUGAAUUAAAAUCGCCUGAUAUGAAAACCAGUCCUCAAAACCAGUGCAAUGUAAACAUUUGUGCUCUCGAUUCAGAAACGUCAUCACGCCCCCGUUUCAGGAUGAAGCCGUUUUAUUGACAGAAAUUCAGUACAGUAUUUCCAAUUGCAUCGAUCUCAAACAUCCGUAACGCCACAUGCAUGACACAAGCGCUCAGGCCAACAAGUGCUUUACUUUUGCUAAAUAAAUUAACUCGAACUUAUUUGAUCUUCGCGCCAAAACGAACCAGAGUUAACAAAUAAAUGCUCUCGCAGUUAAGUUUAAUGCUCUUGUUCGCCCCCCCC